ensembl:snoRNA small nucleolar RNA, C/D box 97
UUGCCCAAUGAUUAUAGCAAGACGCGUUAUUAUGAGGACUAAUGCUGGAACUCUUUCUCCUCCUCCUACUUCUCCUYCUUUGUCCCUUCCUCUUUCACCUUACCUCCUCCUUUUCCUUAGGGUAUCCAGCGUCCUAUGAGCAAGACUGAGAUAUGAGGGCAA